AUCAACAAAUGACAAAGAAACCAGCAAGCUUGUUUCUGCUGAUGCAAGGCCAGAUAUUGGUAGCUCCAGACCUUCAGUAGAUGCAGCAGCAAGGGUGACAGCUGAUGCAAGGCCAGAUAUUGGUAGCUCCAGACCUUCAGUAGAUGCAGCAGCAAGGGUGACAGCUGAUGCAAGGCCAGAUAUUGGUAGCUCCAGACCUUCAGUAGAUGCAGCAGCAAGGGGGGCAGCUGAUGCAAGGCCAGAUAUUGGUAGCUCCAGACCUUCAGUAGAUGCAGCAGCAGCAAGGGGGAUAGCUGAUGGCAAUUCAUCAAGAGCCCCAGAAAAGAAGCACAAUAUGGCACUCCCUGUGCAAUUCACCAGCAGGGAGUUUAAUAAAGGUGCAG
rnacentral:lncRNA from 1 species